rnacentral:rRNA from 1 species
ACGCUCGACACCUACGGGAGCAGCAGUAGGGAAUCUUCCACAAUGGACGCAAGUCUGAUGGAGCAACGCCGCGUGAGUGAAGAAGGUCUUCGGAUCGUAAAACUCUGUUGUUAGAGAAGAACACGAGUGAGAGUAACUGUUCAUUCGAUGACGGUAUCUAACCAGCAAGUCACGGCUAACUACGUUCCAGCAGCCGCGGUAAUCUGAGCGGGCUGGCAAGGC